rnacentral:SRP_RNA from 10 species
ACGGUGGCGCCCUUGCCCUUCUUGUUGUUGCACUCGAUGGUGAAGGGAUUCAUCAGCCGGGCCACCUGCCGGAUGGGGCUCAGCGCCAGGCCGGCAACGGCAGAGCAGAGCCCUCCCAGGGCUG